AAUUUUAGUCGGUUGCAGUAAUUAUUAUAAAACUGAUUAUUUUUUGUAUUGUAUUUCCAAACUUCAUUUUGAUAUUCAUGAUGAAUCAAAAUUCUUAGUCAUUUGAUAAAAUUAAAUAGUUUUAGUCACAUAUCCUCUUUCAUCACUACUAUCAAAUCUUAUCAUUAUUUGAUAUUCAAUGGGUAUCAAAAUAAAAUUAUGAAAGAGUUUAUGAAUGUGAUAAUGUUAGAUUUCAAUUAUAACUAUAAACAAAUAAAAAAAUGGAGUUUAAAAUUUGAUGGAUAAAUUUUGAUAACUAUCCCUGAACUUAUCUAGUUGUA
rnacentral:misc_RNA from 1 species